rnacentral:rRNA from 1 species
UACGUAGGGCGCAAGCGUUAUCCGGAAUUAUUGGGCGUAAAGAGCUCGUAGGCGGUUUGUCGCGUCUGCUGUGAAAGUCCGGGGCUCAACUCCGGAUCUGCGGUGGGUACGGGCAGACUAGAGUGAUGUAGGGGAGACUGGAAUUCCUGGUGUAGCGGUGAAAUGCGCAGAUAUCAGGAGGAACACCGAUGGCGAAGGCGGAUCUCUGGGCCGUAACUGACGCUGAGGAGCGAAAGCAUGGGGAGCGAACAAG